rnacentral:rRNA from 1 species
GCAAGUCGAACGGUAACAUGGAUUGCUUGCAAUCUGAUGACGAGUGGCGCACGGGUGCGUAACGCGUAUAGAACCUACCCUUCACAGGGGGAUAGCCCGGAGAAAUUCGGAUUAAUACCCCAUAGUACUAUUUAGAGGCAUCUUUAGAUGGUUAAAGUUUUUACGGUGAAGGAUGGCUAUGCGUCCUAUUAGUUAGUAGGUGAGGUAACGGCUCACCUAGACUCCGAUAGGUAGGGGCCCUGAGAGGGGGAUCCCCCACACUGGUACUGAGACACGGACCAGACUCCUACGGGAGGCAGCAGUGAGGAAUAUUGGACAAUGGUCGGGAGACUGAUCCAGCCAUGCCGCGUGCAGGAAGACUGCCCUAUGGGUUGUAAACUGCUUUUUUACGGGAAGAAUAAUACCCACGUGUGGGUAGAUGACGGUACCGUAGGAAUAAGGACCGGCUAACUCCGUGCCAGCAGCCGCGGUAAUACGGAGGGUCCGAGCGUUAUCCGGAAUUAUUGGGUUUAAAGGGUCCGCAGGCGGGCCAGUAAGUCAGGGGUGAAAGUUUGCGGCUUAACCGUAAAAUUGCCUUUGAUACUGCUGGUCUUGAGUUGCGGUGAAGUGGCCGGAAUAUGUGGUGUAGCGGUGAAAUGCAUAGAUAUCACAUAGAACACCGAUUGCGAAGGCAGGUCACUAACCGCCGACUGACGCUGAUGGACGAAAGCGUGGGGAGCGAACGGGAUUAGAUACCCUGGUA